GAGGUUUCUGCACAGAACAAAAUGUCUGCGAGGAUCCUGGAGGGGACCCGCGAUCCCAGACUUCUAGCCCGCCUCUUGCUCCUGCCGCGCUUUGGGGGUGAUGGGCACUGCUGAUGGUUCUUUAGAACUCAGGAUUCAUGCUACAGUGUUGCUACCUGACAACUGACAUUGGCUGGAAACUCUGAGGCAAUGACAGGGACCCCCCAAGGCCCACAGGACAUGGCCUACCAACUAAUUUAAAGGCGCGGCGGAGAGAAUGCGGAGUGACGAGCUGACGGCGCCCAUGGACGACACCGGCGGGCCAGACGACGCGGCGGCGCGGGGCGGCCCGUUC